UUUUCCAUUGUCCCUGGUGGAUGGAUAUGAGAUUCUUAAAAACUAUAAUUGUGCUUGGCUUAUCUUUAUUGUUUGUCGCCAAACAAAAGCAGAAAUGGUACAAUUUGCAUAAAGGCAUCCCAUAUCCCAUAAUAGGACCGACCAUUUAAGUUUAAACACUGCAAUAAACUUUAUUUGUAAUGUGAA